GGGGCUGACCGGUUUUGACAGCUUGUAGAAGGGUUAUGUAAGCAUACCGAGCCUUGCAGUGACGCUCGUAAAUCUUGGCUGCAAAAAAUUAAUUGGCGAAAAUACUUACGCUCUCGCUGCUUAAUCGAAGCACAGUAGAUUGAAGCUCAAUCCUUUCACAAGGUGAGAGGACGAGACAUCUCGCGGAUGGAGACUCCCGAUUCCGGUCCGACAACGAGGUGCUCAGCAAUUUCGGGAUAGCGACGCGGAAGCUCUGGCAACGUCGUGAAACUCAAGGAGAUAAGGUUGCG
rnacentral:tmRNA from 1 species